AUACGUAGGGUGCGAGCGUUGUUCGGAAUUACUGGGCGUAAAGAGCGCGUAGGCGGUUAGGAAAGUCAGAGGUGAAAGCCCGGAGCUCAACUCCGGAGGGCCCUUUGAAACUUCCUGACUCGAGUAUAGGAGAGGUAAGCGGAAUUCCUGGUGUAGCAGUGAAAUGCGUAGAUAUCAGGAGGAACAUCAGUGGCGAAGGCGGCUUCCUGGACCAAAACUGACACUGAGGUACGAAAGCGUGGGGAGCAAACAGGAUUAGAAACCCCGGUAGUCC
rnacentral:rRNA from 1 species